UACAGAGGUGACUAACGUUGUCCGGAAUUAUUGGGCGUAAAGGGCGCGUAGGUGGUCAGGUAAGUCAGGUGUGAAAGCUCUGGGCUUAACCCAGGAAUUGCAUCUGAUACUGCUUGGCUUGAGUACGGUAGAGGAGGGUGGAAUUCCCAGUGUAGCGGUGAAAUGCGUAGAUAUUGGGAGGAACACCGGUGGCGAAGGCGGCAUCCUGGACCGGCAUUGACGCUGAGGCGCGAAAGCCAGGGGAGCAAACGGG
rnacentral:rRNA from 1 species